rnacentral:rRNA from 1 species
GAUGAACGCUAGCGGCAGGCCUAAUACAUGCAAGUCGAGCGGCAAGUUGAGAAGCAAUUCGAGACCUAGAGCGGCGUACGGGUGCGUAACGCGUAUGCAACCUACCUCAUACAGGGGGAUAGCCCGGAGAAAUCUGGAUUAAUACCCCAUAGUACAUAUAGAGGGCAUCUGAAAUAUGUUAAAGAUUCAUCGGUAUGAGAUGGGCAUGCGUCUGAUUAGCUAGUUGGCGGUGUAACGGACCACCAAGGCGACGAUCAGUAGGGGUUCUGAGAGGAAGGUCCCCCACACUGGCACUGAGAUACGGGCCAGACUCCUACGGGAGGCAGCAGUAGGGAAUAUUGGGCAAUGGUCGGAAGACUGACCCAGCCAUGCCGCGUGCAGGAAGAAGGCCCUCUGGGUUGUAAACUGCUUUUAUCUGGGAAGAAAAGGCCCGUGCGCGGGACAUUGCCGGUACCAGAUGAAUAAGCACCGGCUAACUCCGUGCCAGCCGCCGCAGUAAUAC